rnacentral:rRNA from 1 species
UACGUAGGGGGCAAGCGUUGUCCGGAAUCAUUGGGCGUAAAGCGCGUGUAGGCGGUCCGGUAAGUCCGCUGUGAAAGUCGGGGGCUCAACCCUCGGAUGCCGGUGGAUACUGUCGGGCUUGAAUACGGAAGAGGCGAGUGGAAUUCCUGGUGUAGCGGUGAAAUGCGCAGAUAUCAGGAGGAACACCAAUUGCGAAGGCAGCUCGCUGGGACGUUACUGACGCUGAGACGCGAAAGCGUGGGGAGCAAACAGG